CACGUAGGGUGCGAGCGUUGUCCGGAAUUAUUGGGCGUAAAGAGCUCGUAGGCGGUUUGUCGCGUCUGCUGUGAAAACUCGGGGCUUAACCCCGGGCCUGCAGUGGGUACGGGCAGACUAGAGUGCGGUAGGGGAGAGUGGAAUUCCUGGUGUAGCGGUGGAAUGCGCAGAUAUCAGGAGGAACACCAAUAGCGAAGGCAGCUCGCUGGGACGGUACUGACGCUAAGGCGCGAAAGCGUGGGGAGCGAACGAGG
rnacentral:rRNA from 1 species